rnacentral:rRNA from 1 species
UACGUAGGGGGCAAGCGUUGUCCGGAUUUAUUGGGCGUAAAGAGCGUGUAGGCGGCCAGGUAGGUCGGUUGUGAAAACUGGAGGCUUAACCUUCAGACGUCGACCGAAACCAUCUGGCUAGAGUCCGGAAGAGGAGAGUGGAAUUCCUGGUGUAGCGGUGAAAUGCGCAGAUAUCAGGAAGAACACCCGUGGCGAAGGCGGCUCUCUGGGACGGUACUGACGCUGAGACGCGAAAGCGUGGGGAGCGAACAGG